rnacentral:rRNA from 1 species
AUUGAACGCUGGCGGCAUGCCUUACACAUGCAAGUCGAACGGCAGCACGGGUGCUUGCACCUGGUGGCGAGUGGCGAACGGGUGAGUAAUACAUCGGAACGUACCUUAUCGUGGGGGAUAACGCAGCGAAAGCUGUGCUAAUACCGCAUACGCCCUGAGGGGGAAAGCGGGGGAUCGAAAGACCUCGCGCGAUUAGAGCGGCCGAUGCCUGAUUAGCUUGUUGGUGGGGUAAAAGCCCACAAAGGCGACGAUCAGCAGCUGGACUGAGAGGACGAACAGCCACACUGGGGCUGAGACACGGCACAGACUCCUACGGGAGGCAGCAGUGGGGAAUUUUGGACAAUGGGGGCAACCCUGAUCCAGCAAUGCCGCGUGAGUGAAGAAGGCCUUCGGGUUGUAAAGCUCUUUUGUCAGGGAAGAAACACCGGCUCUAACACAGUCCGGGAAUGACGGUACCUGAAGAAUAAGCACCGGCUAACUACGUGCCAGCCGCCGCGGUAA